rnacentral:miRNA from 1 species
UGUGUGUGUGUGUGUGUGUGUGUGUGUGUGUGUGUGUGUGUGUGCGCGCACACACACACACAUGUGUGCGCAUGCACACACA